rnacentral:rRNA from 3 species
GGACUACACGGGUAUCUAAUCCCGUUCGCUCCCCUGGCUUUCGCGCCUCAGCGUCAGAAGAGGUCCAGCGAGCCGCCUUCGCCACCGGAGUUCCGCUGGAUAUCAACGCAUUUCACCGCUCCACCCAGCGUUCCGCUCGCCCCUACCCCCCUCGAGGCCGGCGGUGUCCGAGGCCGUUCCCCCGUUGAGCGGGGGGAUUUCACCCCGGACCGUCCGGCCCGCCUACGCGCCCUUUAAGCCCAGUGAUUCCGAACAACGUUCGCACGGUUCGUCUUACCGCGGCUGCUGGCAC